rnacentral:sRNA from 1 species
CCUAAGCUCCAGUUGCCAUCUGAAGGUGGGGACAUAUAGGGUGGCCCUGCUGGCAGACUCUUCCUGUUGCCGAGGUUCAAGGGUCUAAAACUUGCUGCUCUCCGGGCCCUGGACCUAUGGACAGUGUCUUCCAGCUCGUGGAAUGUGUGCUGGGGAACUGGGGAAUGCUGGGUUUGAGGGCUUGCCCUAGGCCACGUUCUCACCUGUCAUCUCUCCUCUGUUUGGACCCAGCGCUGCCUGUGCCCCUAGCAGGAGCCCUGGUGCUACCCCCUGUGAAGAGCCAAGCAGCAGGGCACGCCUGGCUCUCCCUGGAUACCCACUGUCACCUGCACUAUGAGGUGCUGCUGGCUGGGCUUGGUGGCUCAGAACAAGGCACUGUCACUGCCCACCUCCUUGGGCCUCCUGGAACGCCAGGGCCUCGGCGGCUGCUGAAGGGAUUCUAUGGCUCAGAGGCCCAGGGCGUGGUGAAGGACCUGGAGCCAGAGCUGCUGCGGCACCUGGCAAAAGGCACGGCCUCCCUGCUGAUCACCACCAAGGGUAGCCCCAGAGGGGAGCUCCGAGGGCAGGUAGGUGGGGAGUGUGGGCAGUGGGGGCAGUGGGGAGGGUGCAGAGUUGGAGGCGCACUGUGUGCCCUUACACUAGUUACUUGCUGUCUCUGAGUCCUGGGGAUGGUCGUAUCACACCCCUCUGGCUGGUGGGGAGGAUGAGCUACAUGAGGAGGCUGGCAACCCGGCACCCUAUCCCUGGCAGCUGAGAUGAUUGUGGAGCGAAUGGCAUCCUCCUGGGCCACUGCAGCGCUCAGGGGGCUGAGGUGUCUCCAGCUGCCGCUGGUAAAGACGCGAGGGGGAGCCCCAGCGCCGCCUCAAUUGGCCUGUCCUCCCAGGUGCACAUCGCCAACCAAUGUGAGGUGGGCGGACUGCGCCUGGAGGCGGCCGGGGCCGAGGGGGUGCGGGCACCAGGGGCUCUGGAUACAGCUGCUGCUGCGCCGCCUGUGGUGCCUGGUCUCCCGGCCCUAGUGCCCGCCAAACCUGGUGGUCCUGGGCGGCCCCGAGACCCCAACACAUGCUUCUUCGAGGGGCAGCAGCGCCCCCACGGGGCUCGCUGGGCGCCCAACUACGACCCGCUCUGCUCACUCUGCACCUGCCAGAGACGAACGGUGAUCUGUGACCCGGUGGUGUGCCCACUGCCCAGCUGCCCACACCCGGUGCAGGCUCCUGACCAGUGCUGCCCUGUUUGCCCUGAGAAACAAGAUGUCAGAGACCUGCCAGGGCUGCCGAGGAGCCGGGACCCAGGAGAGGGCUGCUAUUUUGAUGGUGACCGGAGCUG